rnacentral:sRNA from 1 species
CGAAGAUCCUCGCACUGGUGGCGCCAUC